rnacentral:rRNA from 1 species
CAGCCGCCGCGGUAAUACGUAGGGUGCAAGCGUUAAUCGGAAUUACUGGGCGUAAAGCGUGCGCAGGCGGUUCGCUAAGACAGAUGUGAAAUCCCCGGGCUUAACCUGGGAACUGCAUUUGUGACUGGCGGGCUAGAGUAUGGCAGAGGGGGGUAGAAUUCCACGUGUAGCAGUGAAAUGCGUAGAGAUGUGGAGGAAUACCGAUGGCGAAGGCAGCCCCCUGGGCCAAUACUGACGCUCAUGCACGAAAGCGUGGGGAGCAAACAGGAUUAGAUACCCCUGUAGUCCCUGUCUCUUAUAC